UGAUCCUGCCAGUAGUCAUAUGCUUGUCUCAAAGACUAAGCCAUGCAUGUGUAAGUAUUCAUGGAACACAGUAAAACUGCGAAUGGCUCAUUAAAACAGUUAUAGUUUCUUUGAUGGAUUGCUUAUAUGGAUAACCGUAGUAAUUCUAGAGCUAAUACAUGCGUGAAGGCCCGACGCAAGAAGGGCUGCAUUUAUUAGAUAAAACCACAGGCUUCGGCCUUAUGGUGAUUCAUGAUAACUGAGCGAAUCGCAUGGGCAAUGACCCGCGAUAAAUCAUUCAAGUUUCUGCCCUAUCAGCUUUCGAUGGUAGUGUCUUGGACUACCAUGGCAGUGACGGGUAACGGAGAAUUAGGGUUCGAUUCCGGAGAGGGAGCCUGAGAAACGGCUACCACAUCUAAGGAAGGCAGCAGGCGCGUAAAUUACCCAAUCCUGACUCAGGGAGGUAGUGACAAGAAAUAACAACCCGGGGUCUCUCAAGACUUACGGGAUUGCAAUGAGAACAAUUUAAAUCACUUAGCGAGGAUCCAUUGGAGGGCAAGUC
rnacentral:rRNA from 1 species